rnacentral:rRNA from 1 species
AUUGAACGCUGGCGGCAUGCCUAACACAUGCAAGUCGAACGGCAGCACAGUGUGUAGCAAUACACAUGGGUGGCGAGUGGCGGACGGGUGAGGAAUACAUAGGAAUCUGCCUUGUAGCGGGGAGUAGUCGGGGAACGUACGGGUAGUACGCAUACGACCUACGGUGAAGAAGGGGAGUCGAAGACUCUCACUAUAAGAUGAGCCUAUGUCCGA